GAAUUAGCUCAGUGGUAAGAGCAUCUGCUUGGCAUACAGAAGGUCCAGCUUCAAUCCCCAACAGCAUCU